AUACGGAGGAUCCGAGCGUUAUCCGGAUUUAUUGGGUUUAAAGGGUGCGCAGGCGGCCAUUUAAGUCAGCGGUUAAAUCGUGGGGCUCAACCCCAUUCUGCCGUUGAUACUGGGUGGCUUGAUUGCGGUCGAGGUUGGCGGUAUUCGUUGUGUAGCGGUGAAAUGCAUAGAUAUGACGAAGAACACCGAUUGCGUAGGCAGCUGACCAGACCGCAAAUGACGCUCAUGCACGAAAGUGCGGGGAUCGAACAGGAUUAGAUACCCUGGUAGUCCGCACAGUAAACGAUGAAUACUUGUUUUCGGCGAUAUAAUGUCGGAGGCAAAGCGAAAGCGAUAAGUAUUCCACCUGGGGAGUACGCCGGCAACGGUGAAACUCAAAUGAAUUGACGGGG
rnacentral:rRNA from 1 species